AACUGUAUAGUCUAAUAAAGACGUUAAAUUGCAAAUUUAAAAAUAAAUAGAAAUUUUAUAGUUU
rnacentral:tRNA from 1 species